UACAGAGGUCCCAAGCGUUGUUCGGAUUCAUUGGGCGUAAAGGGUGCGUAGGCGGCGCGGUAAGUCGGGUGUGAAAUCUCGGAGCUUAACUCCGAAACUGCAUUCGAUACUGCCGUGCUUGAGGACUGGAGAGGAGACUGGAAUUUACGGUGUAGCGGUGAAAUGCGUAGAUAUCGUAAGGAAGACCAAUGGCGAAGGCGGGUCUCUGGAGAGUGCCUGACGCUGAGGCACGAAGGCCAGGGGAGCAAACGGG
rnacentral:rRNA from 1 species